rnacentral:rRNA from 1 species
GACGUAGGGCGCGAGCGUUGUCCGGAUUUAUUGGGCGUAAAGAGCUCGUAGGCGGCUCGUUGCGUCGUUUGUGAAAACCAGCAGCUCAACUGCUGGCUUGCAGGCGAUACGGGCAGACUUGAGUACUGCAGGGGAGACUGGAAUUCCUGGUGUAGCGGUGAAAUGCGCAGAUAUCAGGAGGAACACCGGUGGCGAAGGCGGGUCUCUGGGCAGUAACUGACGCUGAGGAACGAAAGCGUGGGGAGCAAACAGG